rnacentral:rRNA from 1 species
UAGGGAAUCUUCGGCAAUGGGGGGAACCCUGACCGAGCAACGCCGCGUGAGUGAAGAAGGUUUUCGGAUCGUAAAGCUCUGUUGUUAAGGAAGAACGAGUGUGAGAAUGGAAAGUUCAUACUGUGACGGUACUUAACCAGAAAGGGACGGCUAACUACGUGCCAGCAGCCGCGGUAAUACGUAGGUCCCGAGCGUUGUCCGGAUUUAUUGGGCGUAAAGCGAGCGCAGGCGGUUAGAUAAGUCUGAAGUUAAAGGCAGUGGCUCAACCAUUGUAGGCUUUGGAAACUGUUUAACUUGAGUGCAGAAGGGGAGAGUGGAAUUCCAUGUGUAACGGUGAAAUGCGUAGAUAUAUGGAGGAACACCGGUAGCGAAAGCGGCUCUCUGGUCUGUAACUGACGCUGAGGCUCGAAAGCGUGGGGAGCGAACAGG